GUCCUAGCCGUAAACGGUGCACGUUUGCUGUAAGAGGAAUCGACCCCUUUUGUGGCGAAGCUAACGCGUUAAACGUGCCGCCUGGGAAGUACGGUCGCAAGAUUAAAACUCAAAGAAAUUGACGGGGGCCUGCACAAGCGGUGGAGUAUGUGGCUUAAUUCGAUGCAACGCGAAGAACCUUACCUGGCCUUGACAUGUAUGUAGUAGAAGGGUGAAAGCCUGACGAGGUAGCAAUACCAGCAUACACAGGUGCUGCAUGGCUGUCGU
rnacentral:rRNA from 1 species